GGCGCGAUCGUCUAGAGGCCUAGGACACCAGCCUUUCACGUUGGUUACACGGGUUCGAAUCCCGUUCGCGCUACCA
rnacentral:tRNA from 1 species